GAGGCCUGCCUGCCCAGUGACAAACGUUCAACGGCCGCGGUAUUCUGACCGUGCAAAGGUAGCAUAAUCACUUGUUCCUUAAUUGGGGACUGGAAUGAAUGGCCUCACGAGGAUUCAACUGUCUCUUACCUCUAAUCAGUGAAAUUGACCUCCCCGUGAAGAGGCGGGGAUACAACAACAAGACGAGAAGACCCUAUGGAGCUUUAAUUUUCUGUCUUAACUACUAAAUAACUAACCCUACUGGGAUAAAAAAAAGAGAAGUAAGUCAGUAAUUUCGGUUGGGGUGACCUCGGAGAAUAAAACAACCUCCGAAUGAUUUUAACCAAGACAAACAAGUCAAAGUAUUAAAAAUCAAAUUGACCCAAUUCAUUUGAUCAACGGACCAAGUUACCCUAGGGAUAACAGCGCAAUCCUAUUCAAGAGUCCAUAUCGACAAUUAGGGUUUACGACCUCGAUGUUGGAUCAGGACAUCCCAAUGGUGCAGCAGCUAUUAACGGUUCGUUUGUUCAACGAUUAAAGUCCUACGUGAUCUG
rnacentral:rRNA from 1 species